UCUUCCCCCUGUAUUUCGGAAGUUAAGGAACAUAUGUUUUGUCUGAUUGAAAGUGGGGGAAGCUGCCAAUUUGUUCCCUAGGGAUAAAUCUCAUAAUCUUGUGGCUAUGCAAAUCUAUGGCUUAACUUGGUUUACUUUAAAGAAAAAAACCUAAUGUAAUAUUUCAGGAACACAGUUCUUUGACUCAGAUAUUAAAAUCCUCCUUAGACGUGGUUGCUAAGUAGAGAUACUAGGAACCCAAAUUGUUAUUUCUGGAACUUCUACUUCAUCAGUGCCUAAUUAGAUCCUAUCCCUCAGUCAGGUGCCUGGAAUGUGCAGUAGAGGCCACUGAUGCAAGUUCAUCUUCUGUGAUCUCUUCAGAUGGGACUGGCCUGGUUACACCUCAAGUCCUGAAAUGAAGUUAUUUUUUUUCUCCAACUUGUACUAGGAGAACUGAUAAACUCAUUCUACCAAAUGUGAAUAUUCAGCAGUAUUCAAACGGGGAAGACUGUUUAUCAAGGGAGAGAACUCACUUGAAAAUCUGAGGGGAGGGACUCUUAGUGGAGAAAGUGCAGCAACCAUCUGAGAGCUUUACUAGGGCUGGGGGACCUGAUUCCAAGAUCUGUCACUCAGAUCACCUGCACGUUGCUGCCUGAGACCUCAGUCCCUCCCUUGCCCCAUGGACCUUUCCACUGGGCUGCUUCAGUGUCCUGAUAACCAUGGCUGGCCUCCCAGAGCCAGUGACCCAAGAGAGAGCAAGGCGCAAGCCAUAAUGCAUUUUAUGACCUAACUUUGGGUGUCACACAAUGUGAUUUUUUGCAACAUGCUAUUUAUUCCUGAUAUAGCUCAAUCCUGGUCAGCAAGGGAGACUGCUGUACAGGAGCUAUAGUACUGAACACUGCUACCACAUUUUAUUUAUUUUCUGGUCAAUGGUUUUUCCAUUUUACAAAUAAUGCUGCAGUACAUAUUUUGUGUCAUGGUCAGAGAAGAAAGCAGGAUCUCUCUCCUUGGAGUUUGAAAAACCUCAGGGAAGAAUUGCAACAGGCCCAGUGUGGAAUAAAGUUGGUGAAUCUGGAAAAGCUGAGACCACAUCAUGUUAAAUGUGAAGCCUCUGUGGAUCGCUCCAAGCUAUGGACUCAGCACGCUUUUUGCUGUAAUGCUCCUAGAUAGAGCUCCUUUUCUUCCAGAAUCCCACUAUGGUCUGCUGUCUCCAUUUCUUAACUUGCCUGUGGAGGGCACUUUGGGAUUGCUGUAAUCUAGUACAAUCCAUGCUCAAUAAACAUUGUUUUUCAGAAUGAGUGUGUUAA